GAUGAAGAACGUAUCGAAAUGCGAUAAGUAAUGCGAAUUGCAGAAUUCCAGUGAGUCAUCGAAUCUUUGAACGCACAUUGCGCCCUUUGGUAUUCCGAAGGGCAUGCCUGUUCGAGCGUCAUUAUCACCCCUCAAGCCCUCGGCUUGGUGUUGGACGGUUUGGUGGAGGCCCCCUCGGGGGCUCCUGCCCCUCCCAAAGACAAUGACGGCGGCCUCGUUGGACCCCCGGUACACUGAGUUCUUCACGGGACACGUAUCGGACACAUGGGUUUACGGGACACGGUCUGCCUCCCCUCAGGGAGAAUCUUUCUAAGGUUGACCUCGGAUCAGGUAGGGAUACCCGCUGAACUUAAGCAUAUCAAUAAGCGGAGGA
rnacentral:misc_RNA from 1 species